rnacentral:rRNA from 1 species
AGUGAACGCUGGCGGUAGGCCUAACACAUGCAAGUCGAACGGCAGCACAGUAAGAGCUUGCUCUUACGGGUGGCGAGUGGCGGACGGGUGAGGAAUACAUCGGAAUCUACUUUUUCGUGGGGGAUAACGUAGGGAAACUUACGCUAAUACCGCAUACGACCUACGGGUGAAUGCAGGGGAUCUUCGGACCUUGCGCGAUUGAAUGAGACGAUGUCGGAUUAGCUAGUUGGCGGGGUAAAGGCCCACCAAGGCGACGAUCCGUAGCUGGUCUGAGAGGAUGAACAGCCACACUGGAACUGAGACACGGUCCAGACUCCUACGGGAGGCAGCAGUGGGGAAUAUUGGACAAUGGGCGAAAGCCUGAUCCAGCCAUACCGCGUGGGUGAAGAAGGCGUUCGGGUUGUAAAGCCCUUUUGUUGGGAAAGAAAAGCAGCAGGUUAAUACCCCGCUGUUCUGACGGUACCCAAAGAAUAAGCACCGGCUAACUACGUG